rnacentral:sRNA from 1 species
CUUUCGCGUUAGGGAUUGAAGUGGAAAUCCUUUUGUGAGGUACGAGCAAAAGAUUGCAGCGGAAAGCCCGACCCGAC